rnacentral:pre_miRNA from 1 species
AAUAUACUCCCUCCGUCCCAAAAUAAGUGUCUUAACCUUAGUACAAUUUUGUACUAAACUUAGUACAAAGUUGAGACACUUAUUUUGGGACGGAGGGAGUAUAAU